rnacentral:piRNA from 1 species
UGGUCUACUUAAUGAUUAAGAUAGUGGCUG